GAACCACAAUGACAAGCCCCCCAGCACCCCACCUUCUUAUUCCCAGUUGUGUGACCUCAGUUUCCCUGACCCCGUCUCCGUGGCUCUCCUCGCAGCCCUCUUAAGGACUUGUUUCUCCACCCCGUGGCUGCUCUGCCAGGCACGGUCUGGGCCUAGACAUCCGCAGUCACCAGGUUGGCUUCCCAGGAGCAGCGGCAGCAGGAGGAAGUCUGAAGCUCUGGUGAAUGUCCUCCUUUUGGAGCAGGGCCUAAGGCCAACCUGAGUCCAGGAGGAAGAGAUGAAGCAGGACAGGUGCAGUGGAGGAUGAGGACGGGGGACACAGAAGCGCCUUCCUGCCGAAGUGUACAGUGAGGGGGCGUGGGGACCACACUUGGGGCUCUGCAGCGGCAGCUGGAGAAGAGGAUGACCUCGAAUUGCAGAGGAUGCCCUGGAAGGCAGAAGGGGGAAAGAGACUCAGAGAGAAACAGGCGGAGAGACAGUAGGGAGAAGCAGGGGGAAAGGGUGAGGGGAGAGAAAAGAAUUACCUGCACAAGACGGCCACUUGGAUGGAGGAUGAGGAAUAGAGAGCCCGGAAGGCAAGAAGUAGGUCUAAAUUCUUGGCACACAUUCAUACACAGGAGGCCCGGAUAUCUGUGGGUGCUGGGGGUUAUGUGCACCAAAGGCCCACCUAGCCUAUAGUUGCUAUGUCGAUGAGGCCUUUUCCCUCUCAAUGUCCUAUGAUAGCCAGAAGCGUUAUAACUGCUUAAAGGAAGGUGGCUAGGAAAGUUGAGAAAGUACAUAUUCUCUAGAGUGCUCUGCUAUAUUUUUCUACAUUUUUAUUUCCUCCAAGAGUGACAAUCCCUCAAAAGCCCAGGAGCCUGCUUUGAAGGGGAAAUUAGGGGCCAUGUGGCUUGAAGGCCAAGAGAGGAAGCUGCAGUAUCUCUAGGUGUGAGCGUAGGGCUGGCCCAGCCUCCUGGAGAGGGGCUUCUCCAGGCCCAAGCCCAGGACCACGAGAACAGCAGCUUCGGGUGUGGGAGAGCAGCUGCUCUGGCCAAUAGAACCACAACAACUGGGGUGUCUGAGCCAAACACAGCCCACCAGGGACACCCCAUUGUUGGAUCGGGCACCAUAUUUUCCUCCUCCCACCUGGAAAGUGAUGCUGUAAGCUGCCAUCUGACUUAUUCUCCAGGCUCAGCUCAAGCCCACCUCCAGCAAGAGGCCUCCCCCACCCGCUCCCACCCUUAUUUGAACCAACAGCCCUCGUAGCAUCUACCGAUUACAGUUUGCUAUUCAUCGGUUUUCCCAAGCAGAUUGAUACUUUGAUGCCAUGAGCAAUAGGGUUUUCAGAAUUAAAUAGAAAACUUUAGCACUGUAUGAAAACUUUAAGAAAAAAUUGGACUACUGGCCGGGUGCGGUGGCUCAAGCCUGUAAUCCCAGCACUUUGGGAGGCCGAGACGGGCGGAUCAUGAGGUCAGGAGAUCGAGACCAUCCUGGCUAACAUGGUGAAACCCCGUCUCUACUAAAAAAUGCAAAAAAAACUAGCUGGGCGAGGGUGGCGAGCCUGUAGUCCCAGCUACUUGGGAGGCUGAGGCAGGAGAAUGGCAUAAACCCGGGAGGCAGAGCUUGCAGUGAGCUGAGAUCCGGCCACUGCACUCCAGCCUGGGCGACAGGGCGAGACUCCGUCUCAAAAAAAAAAAAAAAGAAAAAA
ensembl:lncRNA